rnacentral:lncRNA from 1 species
AAGAAAUAUCAGUAUUACACCAGACACCAAUAAACAAUUUUUCAGCUUCUGCUAAACAUUUUCUUUCAAUGUUUUUUAACCCAUUGAGUAUUUGAGUGUCAGCACUCUCCCCCUGAUGAGUAAAUAGUCUAGUGUUAGACAGCAAAAUAAUCUGGGGUUAGGCAGAGUAAAAUAAUAGACAACUGGUUGAUCAUUUGAGCAUAGAUAACUGGUUGAUCA